rnacentral:rRNA from 1 species
GAUGAACGCUGGCGGCGUGCCUAAUACAUGCAAGUCGAGCGAACGGACGAGAAGCUUGCUUCUCCGAUGUUAGCGGCGGACGGGUGAGUAACACGUGGAUAACCUACCUAUAAGACUGGGAUAACUUCGGGAAACCGUAGCUAAUACCGGAUAAUAUUUUGAACCGCAUGGUUCAAAAGUGAAAGACGGUCUUGCUGUCACUUAUAGAUGGAUCCGCGCUGCAUUAGCUAGUUGGUAAGGUAACGGCUUACCAAGGCAACGAUGCAUAGCCGACCUGAGAGGGUGAUCGGCCACACUGGGACUGAGACACGGUCCAGACUCCUACGGGAGGCAGCAGUAGGGAAUCUUCCGCAAUGGGCGAAAGCCUGACGGAGCAACGCCGCGUGAGUGAUGAAGGUCUUCGGAUCGUAAAACUCUGUUAUUAGGGAAGAACAUAUGUGUAAGUAACUGUGCACAUCUUGACGGUACCUAAUCAGAAAGCCACGGCUAACUACGUG